rnacentral:lncRNA from 1 species
CUCCUAACUUGGGCAGACCCAAUCUUUCCUGCAAGUUACUUCCUGGUAUUUGUCCCUGUACUUAUUGUGCAGCUUGCUAAAAUGGGAAUUUGGGGGAGUCCAUAUCCAGAGGAACCCUCGAAGUAUUUAUUCCUACAAGUUUUAGGCCAUAUCCAGCCCAACUGUGCUGCUGGGAAUCAGAGAAAAUAGAAGCAAAAACUUAAAAGAGUUCAGUUCAGAUCCCAGAAGAAGCAACCUUCUGCCACUGUGGCUAGGUCGAGAAAGACCAACUGCAAAUUCCUGCAGAUAUAUGAGGCAGAGGCUGCCUAUUUCCUACUGGAAGGUUUUUAGAAUGUUGAUUUUUUUUCACCUGAGUAUGCACUUUUUAAGUUCUCCUCACCCGAGCCUAGGGAAAUCAGGAGGGCUUUUUCAGCUCAUAAACCAUUCUGGUAUCAAGGAGAGGGAAUGGUCACAGUAAGUAGACAGGUGACUUUCAUUUAUCAGACAAAGAUCUAUAAGAGAGACUUUCUCCAGAGAGCUAUAAAACAUCUAUUUUGCCAUUGUUCCAGAUUGGGAACUCAACUACAUUUUGUAAAAAAUGUUUCUAGGAUACAUCCAACUGAGACCUUUUACUACUCCCCUUGAUAACCUUGGGACCAGGAAGGGAAUUGGAACCCUGCUUCUGUUUCCCAAUUCAGCAGGCUAAUGGAGGAAGCUAGAAAUAUCCAACUCCCUUGAUUCCAAUUUUGACAGAUAAUAAAAUUGAGAUCCAGGUACUGGCCAAUAGAAAAACAAUACAGACUCACAGAUUUACAAGGUGUUAUUUUAAUACCCCCCUAAGUAAUUUGGGCACUAAAGUAGCCCUUUGAACUUGGACUGUAUUCAAAGUGUGUUUGCUCCCUUAACUUGAGCUUCCUAGGUUGUCUAUGGGGGGGGGCAGGGCAACUGACUAGGAAACUUGUGGAUUCUACUUUCCUCAUUUGCAUUUCUACAUCUUUCUCCACUGGUAAGUUUUGGAGGAGGGGUAGUUUCCCAUGAAGAGCCCUAGGGGCUCAGCCACUGGUUUCCUAAAUCUGAAUUUAGGAAAUCUCUUGGGAAUCACUUGGGAAUCACUCCUGUCUGCGAGGGCCUGGUAGCCUGCAGGGAGGUUGAAUAAACAAGUAAAAGGAUGAUCAAAAAGAGUAGAGGGGAGGGGGGAUAGUAGAGGAUAGGAAAGGCAGCAGAAUACAACAGACACUAGUAUGGCAAUAUGUAAAUCAAUGGAUGUGUAACUGAUGUGAUUCUGCAAUUUGUAUACGGGGUAAAAAUGGGAGUUCAUAACCCACUUGAAUCAAAGUGUGAAAUAUGAUAUAUCAAGAACUAUGUAAUGUUUUGAACAACCAACAAAAAAAUUAAAAAAAAAAAGAGUAGAGAAACACUCCCAGCUUCUUGUUUUAAAUUAGAAAAUCAUUUAAAUGUUUUACAGUAAGAUAAACCAUUCAAAUCAUGGCCCUAUAGUGGAAUUUUAACCCUAAAAUAAUUUUCUUGAAAAAUCUUUAGUAACAUGAUAUUAACAAAGAUGAUUACUAAAUAGCAUGUAUAUGAUGAAUCCAAUUUGUUUUUAAAAAUAUAAAAAUAUUUGCCAUCAUGUAAUAGUAAAUUUGAG